UUCCGGUUGAUCCCGCCGGACCUGACUGCUAUCGGAUUGAUACUAAGCCAUGCGAGUCAUUGUAGUAAUACAAGGCAGACGGCUCAGUAACGCGUAGUCAACCUAACCUAUGGACGGGAAUAACCUCGGGAAACUGAGUAUAAUGCCCGAUAGAACAUUAUGCCUGGAAUGGUUUAUGCUCCAAAUGAUUUAUCGCCGUAGGAUGGGACUGCGGCCUAUCAGUUUGUUGGUGAGGUAAUGGCCCACCAAGACUAUUACAGGUACGGGCUCUGAGAGGAGUAGCCCGGAGAUGGGUACUGAGACACGGACCCAGGCCCUAUGGGGCGCAGCAGGCGAGAAAACUUUGCAAUGUGCGAAAGCACGACAAGGUUAAUCCGAGUGGUUUCUGCUAAAGGAACCUUUUGUUAGUCCUAGAAACACUAACGAAUAAGGGGUGGGCAAGUUCUGGUGUCAGCCGCCGCGGUAAAACCAGCACCUCAAGUGGUCAGGAUGAUUAUUGGGCCUAAAGCAUCCGUAGCCGGCUCUGUAAGUUUUCGGUUAAAUCUGUACGCUCAACGUACAGGCUGCCGGGAAUACUGCAGAGCUAGGGAGUGGGAGAGGUAGACGGUACUCGGGAGGAAGGGGUAAAAUCCUUUGAUCUUUCGAUGACCACCUGU
rnacentral:rRNA from 1 species